GGGUUGUGAGGUUAAGCGACUAAGCGUACACGGUGGAUGCCCUGGCAGUCAGAGGCGAUGAAGGACGUGCUAAUCUGCGAUAAGCGUCGGUAAGGUGAUAUGAACCGUUAUAACCGGCGAUUUCCGAAUGGGGAAACCCAGUGUGUUUCGACACACUAUCAUUAACUGAAUCCAUAGGUUAAUGAGGCGAACCGGGGGAACUGAAACAUCUAAGUACCCCGAGGAAAAGAAAUCAACCGAGAUUCCCCCAGUAGCGGCGAGCGAACGGGGAGCAGCCCAGAGCCUGAAUCAGUGUGUGUGUUAGUGGAAGCGUCUGGAAAGGCGCGCGAUACAGGGUGACAGCCCCGUACACAAAAAUGCACAUGCUGUGAGCUCGAUGAGUAGGGCGGGACACGUGGUAUCCUGUCUGAAUAUGGGGGGACCAUCCUCCAAGGCUAAAUACUCCUGACUGACCGAUAGUGAACCAGUACCGUGAGGGAAAGGCGAAAAGAACCCCGGCGAGGGGAGUGAAAAAGAACCUGAAACCGUGUACGUACAAGCAGUGGGAGCACGCUUAGGCGUGUGACUGCGUACCUUUUGUAUAAUGGGUCAGCGACUUAUAUUCUGUAGCAAGGUUAACCGAAUAGGGGAGCCGAAGGGAAACCGAGUCUUAACUGGGCGUUAAGUUGCAGGGUAUAGACCCGAAACCCGGUGAUCUAGCCAUGGGCAGGUUGAAGGUUGGGUAACACUAACUGGAGGACCGAACCGACUAAUGUUGAAAAAUUAGCGGAUGACUUGUGGCUGGGGGUGAAAGGCCAAUCAAACCGGGAGAUAGCUGGUUCUCCCCGAAAGCUAUUUAGGUAGCGCCUCGUGAAUUCAUCUCCGGGGGUAGAGCACUGUUUCGGCAAGGGGGUCAUCCCGACUUACCAACCCGAUGCAAACUGCGAAUACCGGAGAAUGUUAUCACGGGAGACACACGGCGGGUGCUAACGUCCGUCGUGAAGAGGGAAACAACCCAGACCGCCAGCUAAGGUCCCAAAGUCAUGGUUAAGUGGGAAACGAUGUGGGAAGGCCCAGACAGCCAGGAUGUUGGCUUAGAAGCAGCCAUCAUUUAAAGAAAGCGUAAUAGCUCACUGGUCGAGUCGGCCUGCGCGGAAGAUGUAACGGGGCUAAACCAUGCACCGAAGCUGCGGCAGCGACGCUUAUGCGUUGUUGGGUAGGGGAGCGUUCUGUAAGCCUGUGAAGGUGUGCUGUGAGGCAUGCUGGAGGUAUCAGAAGUGCGAAUGCUGACAUAAGUAACGAUAAAGCGGGUGAAAAGCCCGCUCGCCGGAAGACCAAGGGUUCCUGUCCAACGUUAAUCGGGGCAGGGUGAGUCGACCCCUAAGGCGAGGCCGAAAGGCGUAGUCGAUGGGAAACAGGUUAAUAUUCCUGUACUUGGUGUUACUGCGAAGGGGGGACGGAGAAGGCUAUGUUGGCCGGGCGACGGUUGUCCCGGUUUAAGCGUGUAGGCUGGUUUUCCAGGCAAAUCCGGAAAAUCAAGGCUGAGGCGUGAUGACGAGGCACUACGGUGCUGAAGCAACAAAUGCCCUGCUUCCAGGAAAAGCCUCUAAGCAUCAGGUAACAUCAAAUCGUACCCCAAACCGACACAGGUGGUCAGGUAGAGAAUACCAAGGCGCUUGAGAGAACUCGGGUGAAGGAACUAGGCAAAAUGGUGCCGUAACUUCGGGAGAAGGCACGCUGAUAUGUAGGUGAGGUCCCUCGCGGAUGGAGCUGAAAUCAGUCGAAGAUACCAGCUGGCUGCAACUGUUUAUUAAAAACACAGCACUGUGCAAACACGAAAGUGGACGUAUACGGUGUGACGCCUGCCCGGUGCCGGAAGGUUAAUUGAUGGGGUUAGCGCAAGCGAAGCUCUUGAUCGAAGCCCCGGUAAACGGCGGCCGUAACUAUAACGGUCCUAAGGUAGCGAAAUUCCUUGUCGGGUAAGUUCCGACCUGCACGAAUGGCGUAAUGAUGGCCAGGCUGUCUCCACCCGAGACUCAGUGAAAUUGAACUCGCUGUGAAGAUGCAGUGUACCCGCGGCAAGACGGAAAGACCCCGUGAACCUUUACUAUAGCUUGACACUGAACAUUGAGCCUUGAUGUGUAGGAUAGGUGGGAGGCUUAGAAGUGUGGACGCCAGUCUGCAUGGAGCCGACCUUGAAAUACCACCCUUUAAUGUUUGAUGUUCUAACGUUGACCCGUAAUCCGGGUUGCGGACAGUGUCUGGUGGGUAGUUUGACUGGGGCGGUCUCCUCCUAAAGAGUAACGGAGGAGCACGAAGGUUGGCUAAUCCUGGUCGGACAUCAGGAGGUUAGUGCAAUGGCAUAAGCCAGCUUGACUGCGAGCGUGACGGCGCGAGCAGGUGCGAAAGCAGGUCAUAGUGAUCCGGUGGUUCUGAAUGGAAGGGCCAUCGCUCAACGGAUAAAAGGUACUCCGGGGAUAACAGGCUGAUACCGCCCAAGAGUUCAUAUCGACGGCGGUGUUUGGCACCUCGAUGUCGGCUCAUCACAUCCUGGGGCUGAAGUAGGUCCCAAGGGUAUGGCUGUUCGCCAUUUAAAGUGGUACGCGAGCUGGGUUUAGAACGUCGUGAGACAGUUCGGUCCCUAUCUGCCGUGGGCGCUGGAGAACUGAGGGGGGCUGCUCCUAGUACGAGAGGACCGGAGUGGACGCAUCACUGGUGUUCGGGUUGUCAUGCCAAUGGCACUGCCCGGUAGCUAAAUGCGGAAGAGAUAAGUGCUGAAAGCAUCUAAGCACGAAACUUGCCCCGAGAUGAGUUCUCCCUGACUCCUUGAGAGUCCUGAAGGAACGUUGAAGACGACGACGUUGAUAGGCCGGGUGUGUAAGCGCAGCGAUGCGUUGAGCUAACCGGUACUAAUGAACCGUGAGGCUUAACCUUACAACGCCGAAGGUGUUU
rnacentral:rRNA from 1 species